GAUGAACGCUGGCGGCGUGCCUAAUACAUGCAAGUCGAGCGAACAGAUGAGGAUCUUGCUCCUCUGACAUUAGCGGCGGACGGGAGCGUAACACGUAGAUAACCUACAUAUAAGACUGGGAUAACUUCGGGAAACCGGAGCUCAUACCGGAUAAUAUAUUCAACCGCAUGGUUCAAUAGUGAAAGACGGUUUUGCUGUCCUUUAUAGAUGGUUCCCCUGCUCCUUAGCUAGUUGGUUAGGUAACGGUUUACCAAGGCAACGAUGCGUAGGCGGCAUGAGGGGGAUAUGGGCCCGACCGGAACUGAGACACGGUCCCGACUCCUACGGGAUGCAGCCGUAGCGCAUACUCGGCGAUGGGCGGAAGCCUGUUGGAGCAAGGCCGCGUGAGUGAUGAAGGUCUUCGGUUCGUAAAAAGCUGUUAUUAGGGAAGAACAAAUGUGUAAGUAACUAUGCACGUCGUGACGGUACCUACACAAAAAGCCACGGCUAACUACGUG
rnacentral:rRNA from 1 species